ensembl:lncRNA
GUGAUUGUCCCAAAGCUUCCUGGGCUGAUGGGAAGCCCUGAGGAGCAUCGGGACCUGCAGAGAACCCUCCUCCUGACUGAGGGAGAAACCAGCUAGAAAUGUUGAGACAGAGAGAAAAGAGAUUCCUCCACAGCACAACCUGAGGAGUAAAAGGAGCGUGGAGCAUUUAGUGUGUGUUUGCCAUCCUGAGCAGAACCCCACCCUGCUUCACUUGUUACUGCAACGGGUAUUCCCAGCUGUCUCUGAAAAGAGCAGAUUUGAUCCUUUGCAAACCUUGUGUGUAUCGGACCACGCGUUGGCGCACGAAGAAACCAAACAGCCACAGGAGCGCCUCUGGUAUUCAGGCAGCCAUUACAAUGCCCUUGGAGCAUCUUUAGCUCUUAGAAAUGAAGCCCAGUGCUGAUGCCAGAAAACAUCCUGGGCUUGAAUGUGCCCUUACUUGUGCAGGGCUGGCAGCAGUCCAGCACACAGCUCUCUGCGCUCCGGUGGUGUCUCCAGGAGUUAACCAGGGGGAAGGCGGAUGGAUGGCAAAGAAUUUGCUCAGGGGUGAUGGCUUGCUGCACUCCUCCCUUGUUGGACGGUGAGCAUCACCACACUGCAGGGCUUUCCUUUGCCAACACAGAACUCAUGAAGGCAGCAGAGGAGCAAGGCAGGGAUUUUCUACUUCACGCAGAUGCUGGGAAGAUAGAGCUAAAACCUCUCUCCUCUGCAGCUUUAGUACAGAUCUCAGUAGCUCCUCCUGCAUGGGACUGAUAGCACAGCCAAGUCAGCAUGGUGUCGUCUUGCAAAUGGAUUCUGACGAUAAUCACAAUUAUUUUUCCUGCUGGGGACAAACUUCUGCAGUGGCAGUAGUUCAUCUAUUGAUGUUGGACCUAAUGGACCCUUGAGCACGGACAGAGCUCGGACGGAGUACAACCCACCAUCCUCAUGGCCAUCUUGAGCCAGCUCUCAGGAGGGGAAUCUUUUAUAGUUAAAUGUAUAUGGCCAUGCAGUGUUAGUUAAAGCUUCCUUUCAGAUGCAGAUAUACAGCAGCUUUGGUCUGGGUAAGCAUGAAGGGAGAACAGAGUACACUUGAGUUGCUUUUGUUGUGAGUUUAUAGAAAGCUUUGACCUUAUAGGGAAUAGUACAGCUUUGCUCUGUCUGUUUGCACUCUGUGUUGCUCAGUGAUGUUGCUUAUCUCUCAGCAUGCUGUUUCAUUUAUACAUGCAUUUCUAAUAAUCCUGUCCCCGUGCUUCAGUCCCUUCCCCGUGUUUCUCAUGGCUCCAGCCUCUGCACUGCUGGCAGCUGCUCUGGGUCCAAGCACCAACAUGCAGAACAACC